rnacentral:rRNA from 1 species
AUUGAACGCUGGCGGCAGGCCUAACACAUGCAAGUCGAGCGGAUGAAGGGAGCUUGCUCCUGGAUUCAGCGGCGGACGGGUGAGUAAUGCCUAGGAAUCUGCCUGGUAGUGGGGGAUAACGUCCGGAAACGGGCGCUAAUACCGCAUACGUCCUGAGGGAGAAAGUGGGGGAUCUUCGGACCUACGGCUAUCAGAUGAGCCUAGGUCGGAUUAGCUAGUUGGUGGGGUAAAGGCCUACCAAGGCGACGAUCCGUAACUGGUCUGAGAGGAUGAUCAGUCACACUGGAACUGAGACACGGUCCAGACUCCUACGGGAGGCAGCAGUGGGGAAUAUUGGACAAUGGGCGAAAGCCUGAUCCAGCCAUGCCGCGUGUGUGAAGAAGGUCUUCGGAUUGUAAAGCACUUUAAGUUGGGAGGAAGGGCAGUAAGUUAAUACCUUGCUGUUUUGACGUUACCAACAGAAUAAGCACCGGCUAACUUCGUG